UCACAGGUAAUGAUCUAGGACAGGUCACAGGUACAGACCUAGGACAGGUCACAGGUACAGACCUAGGACAGGUCACAGGUACAAGCCAAGGGACAUGGAAAGCUGAAGAGCAUAAAUAACCUAACGUUUCCAUCAGAAUGGCCAAAGACUAAGAACAGGAUAGUGAACUUGGCACUAAAACAUCACAGAUACUGGACCUCAUUUCACCGCUGGAAGAUAUGGGGUGAUGCAGCGGAUAACAGUGGAGCCGGGAGCUUCUUACACUAAGCACCACCCCAUCAUGGAGGGUCAAAGGUCAUGGCACGUGCAACGUCACACCGUCUUCCUCAUGUCAGCGAUUGCCCCCUGGUGCUGACUGCUCCACCAGUAAAUGUCUCAGCAGCCUUCUCUGCCUAGGAAUGAAGUGAUCUGGCAAUGGUACAAUAUAAACAUA